rnacentral:rRNA from 1 species
AAAAGCUUUCUUUAAUUGAAUAAUUGAAUUUAAUUUUUUAGUGCAAAAGCAAAAAUAAAAAUUAGGGACAAGAAGACCCUAUGAAUUUUUUAUUAAAUUUUAUAAAACUUUAUAUAAAAUUUAAUUUAAUUGGGGUGAUGGAAAAAGAAUAAAUAUCUUUUUUUUUAAAAAAAAUUGGUUCCGUUUUUAGCGAUUAAAUGAAAAAAAUACUCUAGGGAUAACAGCGUAAUAAUUUUGGAUAGUUCAUAUAGAUAAAAUAGUUUGCGACCUCGAUGU